GGAUUAGAUACCCUGGUAGUCCACGCCGUAAACGAUGAGUGCUAAGUGUUAGGGGGUUUCCGCCCCUUAGUGCUGCAGUUAACGCAUUAAGCACUCCGCCUGGGGAGUACGACCGCAAGGUUGAAACUCAAAGGAAUUGACGGGGGCCCGCACAAGCGGUGGAGCAUGUGGUUUAAUUCGAAGCAACGCGAAGAACCUUACCAGGUCUUGACAUCCUUUGACCAUUCUGGAGACAGAACUUUCCCUUCGGGGACAAAGUGACAGGUGGUGCAUGGUUGUCGUCAGCUCGUGCCG
rnacentral:rRNA from 1 species